GAUGAACGCUAGCGGCAGGCCUAAUACAUGCAAGUCGAACGGUGUCUUCGGACAUAGUGGCGCACGGGUGCGUAACACGUAUGCAACCUACCUUACAUUGGGGGAUAGCCUUUCGAAAGGGAGAUUAAUACCGCAUAAGACAGUAGCUGGGCAUCCAGCAGCUGUUAAAGAUUUAUCGAUGUAAGCUGGGCAUGCGUCCAAUUAGCUAGUUGGUGAGGUAACGGCUCACCAAGGCAAUGAUUGGUAGGGGAACUGAGAGGUCAAUCCCCCACACUGGCCCUGAGAUACGGGCCAGACUCCUACGGGAGGCAGCAGUAGGGAAUAUUGGGCAAUGGACGCAAGUCUGACCCAGCCAUGCCGCGUGCAGGAUGAAGGCGUUAUGCGUUGUAAACUGCUUUUGUACAGGAAGAAACGACUCUUGCGAGAGGCAUUGACGGUACUGUAUGAAUAAGCACCGGCUAACUCCGUGCCAGCAGCCGCCGUAAUAC
rnacentral:rRNA from 1 species